rnacentral:rRNA from 3 species
GAAUGCUGACAUAAGUAACGAUAAAGCGGGUGAAAAGCCCGCUCGCCGGAAGACCAAGGGUUCCUGUCCAACGUUAAUCGGGGCAGGGUGAGUCGACCCCUAAGGCGAGGCCGAAAGGCGUAGUCGAUGGGAAACGGGUUAAUAUUCCCGUACUUGGUGUUACUGCGAAGGGGGGACGGAGAAGGCUAUGUUGGCCGGGCGACGGUUGUCCCGGUUUAAGCGUGUAGGCUGGUUUUCCAGGCAAAUCCGGAAAAUCAAGGCUGAGGCGUGACGACGAGGCACUACGGUGCUGAAGCAACAAAUGCCCUGCUUCCAGGAAAAGCCUCUAAGCAUCAGGUAACAUCAAAUCGUACCCCAAACCGACACAGGUGGUCAGGUAGAGAAUACCAAGGCGCUUGAGAGAACUCGGGUGAAGGAACUAGGCAAAAUGGUGCCGUAACUUCGGGAGAAGGCACGCUGACAC